rnacentral:rRNA from 1 species
CAAUAGCGUAUAUUAAAGUUGUUGCAGUUAAAAAGCUCGUAGUUGGAUUUCUGGAUCGAACGCUUCGUCCGCCGCUGUGCGGUGUGUACUGAGGUUUUGUUUCGAUUCAUCCUUGCAGGGAAGCGAGUUCGAGAUUAAUUUGUUGGCUCGGGGAACUGCAUCUUUUACUGUGAAAAAAUUAGAGUGUUUAAAGCAGGCAUUUUGCUGUGAAUACAUUAGCAUGGAAUAAUAACAUAGGACUUUGGUUCUAUUUUGUUGGUUGGAGGCCAAGGUAAUGAUUAAUAGGGACAGUUGGGGGUAUUCAUAUUUAAUUGUCAGAGGUGAAAUUCUUGGAUUUAUGAAAGAUGAACUCAUGCGAAAGCAUUUACCAAGGAUGUUUUCAUUA